AGCAUGUACACGAACAUUUCAAACGACUUGGCGUUAAAAUGUGUGGAUGUAGAGAAUGUAUGGGACGAGAUAAGUGAACACUGCAGCGAACGCCGUUUGCUGAUUUUUAUUUUUAUUUUAAUUUCUUUUUAAUUUUUAAUUUUAGCAGUUGAUAAUGGUGCCGUGAGGUGCCGAAACGUCCUGCCUCAGUAUUUUGUAUUUCAGCCUUGUUUCCGCAUUUUCCUGUGUUUUCGAUUAAAGCCAUACAUAAUUUAUGUCAUCAUAUUCAUCAAUAUAAUUGGAGAUACUGUUGUGAUGAGGAAUUUUAUUAAUUUCCUGAGCACGGGAACAGGGUAGGCUAACUUGUUCUGGUUUAAAUAUUUAGUGGAAUACUUAUUAAAAUUUGAUACUUUUUAACCUAAUACUUUUAAACCUUGUAACACCUUAAUAUUCGCGAAUCUCGAUUCACUACUUCGUUAAACUUACAUUUGGCCUUGGGGAACGCUCAAUGACUCUGUUGAUUUCUGUGUCAUCAUGACUAUUAAUUAAAUCAACGAUUUCACAGAAAUCGGCACGGAAGUCGUUGUCUCUGUUUUCCGCACGGAUGCGAUUCUGAGACGAAUCACUUUUGCUUGAGUUGUGAUAUCGAUUCGUAACAGAUCCAAGAUGUGUGCAGAGAAUAUCAUCUACGAAGCGUCCAAAACUAUGGUCAUUCCUCUAGCACGAGGACUCUCAAUCAGUCAAUCCUUUCCGCCCCUGCGUACCCCCCCCCCCUGCCCUGGGGCAGGGGGAUAAUGUAAUACUUGAUUUAGAAAAAGGGGAAAACACCUGUUAGUUUCGAAUUUUUUCCCGCCUAACCAAGCAUAGAAAAUUCAACAGCUGAUACGUGAUUCUGAUGAUUUAUGAAUAUUUUCCUAGAACAGAUGAAUCUAAUAUUCACCUAUUAUAAAUCUAUGGAAAUUGGAUAACCUCCAAAUUCGGUGCAUGUUCAUGGCGUAAUCAAAAUUCCAGUAAAUUGAUUUACAGAGUCGUUUAUGUAUUGUGGUUUCUGCAGAAGAAAGACGUGGCCUUCGCAGCUCAUAUCAUCCCCGACUGCCAUGAUUCACCCCCCAUGAGUUGUCUCAUUGAGUUCAUCUGGCCCCAGGGCCGAAACCUUGAGCUGAAUCCCUGCUUCACUAAUCCUUGGUACCUGCUGUCCCCGGGGAGGAAUUGGAUAGGGAAAGGAAAGGAAUCUUCACCU